GAUAAACGCUGGCGGUAUGCCUAAUACAUGCAAGUCGAACGAGAGUAGCAAUACUCUAGUGGCGAACGGGUGAGUAACACGUAGGUAACCUGCCCUAAAGACGAGGAUAACACCGGGAAACUGGAGCUAAAACUGGAUAGGACAAUUUGAGGCAUCUUGGAUUGUUUAAAGGACCAGCAAUGGUACACUUUAUGAGGGGUCUGCGGCGCAUUAGUUAGUUGGUGGGGUAACGGCCUACCAAGACGAUGAUGCGUAGCCGGACUGAGAGGUCAACCGGCCACAUUGGGACUGAGAACGGCCCAAACUCCUACGGGAGGCAGCAGUAGGGAAUUUUCGGCAAUGGGGGGAACCCUGACCGAGCAACGCCGCGUGAAUGACGAAGUUCUUCGGAAUGUAAAGUUCUUUUAUUAGUGAAGAAUGGCUUAUGGAAAAAUAAGAAUGACGGUAACUAAUGAAUAAGCCCCGGCUAACUAUGUG
rnacentral:rRNA from 1 species